rnacentral:rRNA from 1 species
UGGGGAAUAUUGCGCAAUGGGCGAAAGCCUGACGCAGCGACGCCGCGUGAGGGAUGAAGGUUUUCGGAUCGUAAACCUCUGUCAGAAGGGAAGAAACCGCACUGUGCUAAUCAGCAGUGCCUUGACGGUACCUUCAAAGGAAGCACCGGCUAACUCCGUGCCAGCAGCCGCGGUAAUACGGAGGGUGCAAGCGUUAUUCGGAAUUACUGGGCGUAAAGCGCACGUAGGCUGCUUUGUAAGUCAGGGGUGAAAUCCCACGGCUCAACCGUGGAACUGCCUUUGAUACUGCUUAGCUUGAAUCCGGGAGAGGGUGGCGGAAUUCCAGGUGUAGGAGUGAAAUCCGUAGAUAUCUGGAGGAACAUCAGUGGCGAAGGCGGCCACCUGGACCGGUAUUGACGCUGAGGUGCGAAAGCGUGGGGAGCAAACAGG